GCUGUUUUACCAACCCCAGCAGAGGGAGAAAUGUCUAGAAAGAAAGAAGGAAAUGGUUUAAAGGGCCUCCGAGCACCUCAGCAGCACUGCCCGGCCCCAGCGCACAGCUCUGCAGGGAUGGGAGCAGAGAGCGGCGAAUGGGCUCUGCAGGGCUGAGGCUGGCUGUGAGCCGUGCCGUGCCCGCAGCCUGGAGCCGAAGGGGACACGGCGCCGUACGGGUGCCGGGGCAGUAAGAACGGAGCAGACCAUGGAAGCGGCCGCUGCCCCACAGCCGUGCCCCGCGCACUGCCGGAGCCAGGAGAGCCCCGGGCCUCAGCCCCCAACCACAGCGCAGCUAUAGGACCCUCAGAGCUGCAAUAUCAUCUCUGCUUCCGAACCCGUUUUCCCUUCAGCUCCCGGAGGACUGGAGCAUGCCUUGUUUUUGCCACCACAUAAAGGGGUGAUGUUUGCAGGCUGCUGAGCUGGGAUAAUUCGCUGCCCCUCCUCCAGAGCACAGCCACAGAACCAGAGCUGCGUGUCAGAACCAACAUGAGCCCAAACGCC
ensembl:lncRNA